CCAGUGAAAAAUUAAACGGCCGCGGUACCCUAACCGUGCAAAGGUAGCAUAAUCAUUUGUCUACUAAUUAUAGACCCGUAUGAAUGGCAAAAUGAGGGCCUAACUGUCUCUUAUAAUUAAUCAAUUAAACUGAUCUACUAGUAAAAAAGCUAGAAUGUCCACAUAAGACCAGAAGACCCUGUGAAGCUUAAACUAAACUAUUAAACCUAAUAAUAACUACUUUCGGUUGGGGCGACCAAGGAAAAAAAAAGAACUUCCAAACCACGACUAUCCGUCACCAAAAGGCCAACAAGCCCGCUAAUGACCCAGCACAGCUGAUCAAUGAACAAAGUUACUCCAGGGAUAACAGCGCAAUCUUCUUCA
rnacentral:rRNA from 1 species